rnacentral:rRNA from 1 species
AACGAACGCUGGCGGCAGGCCUAACACAUGCAAGUCGAACGCCCCGCAAGGGGAGUGGCAGACGGGUGAGUAACACGUGGGAACGUACCCUUUGGUUCGGAACAACUCCGGGAAACUGGAGCUAAUACCGAAUAAGCCCUACGGGGGAAAGAUUUAUCGCCGAAGGAUCGGCCCGCGUCGGAUUAGCUAGUUGGUGGGGUAAAAGCCUACCAAGGCGACGAUCCGUAGCUGGUCUGAGAGGAUGACCAGCCACACUGGGACUGAGACACGGCCCAGACUCCUACGGGAGGCAGCAGUGGGGAAUAUUGGACAAUGGGCGCAAGCCUGAUCCUGCCAUGCCGCGUGAGUGAUGAAGGCCUUAGGGUUGUAAAGCUCUUUCGCCAGGGACGAUAAUGACGGUACCUGGAUAAGAAGCCCCGGCUAACUUCGUGCCAGCAGCCGCGGUAAAAC